GUUGGGUAGGGGAGCGUUCUGUAAGCCUGUGAAGGUGUGUCGUGAGGCAUGCUGGAGGUAUCAGAAGUGCGAAUGCUGACAUAAGUAACGAUAAAGCGGGUGAAAAGCCCGCUCGCCGGAAGACCAAGGGUUCCUGUCCAACGUUAAUCGGGGCAGGGUGAGUCGACCCCUAAGGCGAGGCCGAAAGGCGUAGUCGAUGGGAAACGGGUUAAUAUUCCCGUACUUGGUGUUACUGCGAAGGGGGGACGGAGAAGGCUAUGUUGGCCGGGCGACGGUUGUCCCGGUUUAAGCGUGUAGGUGUGUGUUCCAGGUAAAUCCGGUUCACUUUAACACUGAGGCGUGACGACGAGGCACUACGGUGCUGAAGCAACAAAUGCCCUGCUUCCAGGAAAAGCCUCUAAGCAUCAGGUAACAUCAAAUCGUACCCCAAACCGACACAGGUGGUCAGGUAGAGAAUACCAAGGCGCUUGAGAGAACUCGGGUGAAGGAACUAGGCAAAAUGGUGCCGUAACUUCGGGAGAAGGCACGCUGACACGUAGGUGAAGUGAUUUACUCAUGGAGCUGAAGUCAGUCGAAGAUACCAGCUGGCUGCAACUGUUUAUUAAAAACACAGCACUGUGCAAACACGAAAGUGGACGUAUACGGUGUGACGCCUGCCCGGUGCCGGAAGGUUAAUUGAUGGGGUCAGCGCAAGCGAAGCUCCUGAUCGAAGCCCCGGUAAACGGCGGCCGUAACUAUAACGGUCCUAAGGUAGCGAAAUUCCUUGUCGGGUAAGUUCCGACCUGCACGAAUGGCGUAAUGAUGGCCAGGCUGUCUCCACCCGAGACUCAGUGAAAUUGAACUCGCUGUGAAGAUGCAGUGUACCCGCGGCAAGACGGAAAGACCCCGUGAACCUUUACUAUAGCUUGACACUGAACAUUGAGCCUUGAUGUGUAGGAUAGGUGGGAGGCUUUGAAGUGUGGACGCCAGUCUGCAUGGAGCCGACCUUGAAAUACCACCCUUUAAUGUUUGAUGUUCUAACGUGGACCCGUUACCCGGGUUGCGGACAGUGUCUGGUGGGUAGUUUGACUGGGGCGGUCUCCUCCUAAAGAGUAACGGAGGAGCACGAAGGUUGGCUAAUCCUGGUCGGACAUCAGGAGGUUAGUGCAAUGGCAUAAGCCAGCUUGACUGCGAGCGUGACGGCGCGAGCAGGUGCGAAAGCAGGUCAUAGUGAUCCGGUGGUUCUGAAUGGAAGGGCCAUCGCUCAACGGAUAAAAGGUACUCCGGGGAUAACAGGCUGAUACCGCCCAAGAGUUCAUAUCGACGGCGGUGUUUGGCACCUCGAUGUCGGCUCAUCACAUCCUGGGGCUGAAGUAGGUCCCAAGGGUAUGGCUGUUCGCCAUUUAAAGUGGUACGCGAGCUGGGUUUAGAACGUCGUGAGACAGUUCGGUCCCUAUCUGCCGUGGGCGCUGGAGAACUGAGGGGGGCUGCUCCUAGUACGAGAGGACCGGAGUGGACGCAUCACUGGUGUUCGGGUUGUCAUGCCAAUGGCACUGCCCGGUAGCUAAAUGCGGAAGAGAUAAGUGCUGAAAGCAUCUAAGCACGAAACUUGCCCCGAGAUGAGUUCUCCCUGAGACUUAGAGUCUCCUGAAGGAACGUUGAAGACGACGACGUUGAUAGGCCGGGUGUGUAAGCGCAGCGAUGCGUUGAGCUAACCGGUACUAAUGAACCGUGAGGCUUAACCUUACAACGCCGAAG
rnacentral:rRNA from 2 species